rnacentral:lncRNA from 1 species
GGGCUUUUCCCCCCUGCUCUUGGCGCUGAAGACUGGAGCCUCCCCCGCUUCCAAAUGUUAUGGUGCAUAUUGACUCCACGGACUACCCAGACAAGUAAUGCUGUGGGGUGAAAGAUCAGUCUCUGAUUUACCUGGUAGUCAAAGUGACUAUGGAAGGCUGAAACCAUGUACUGCAAUUGUUUYUAUUUAACAACUCUUCUCAUGCUGUAGUCAAUGAAU